GCGGCAGCAGUAUUAGUUAUUGGUCUAAGUCGACCAGGUAAACCUUAAUGCUAGCUCUGCUCCUUCCUUUAUCUCUGACUGUGAUGCCCUUUGUAAUUCGCCCUUCUCAUGUUCAUCUUGUCGGUCGCGUGUUUUCAAGGUUCAGGGCUAGGAUCUGCAUGGUGUGCGUAGCUCCUGCUUGUUGAAUUUGUGGUAUAGUUGUCGUUUUUAUAAGUACCAUUUUAAUCUGCUCAACAGUCACCGGAUGAUUAUUAUAAGACCUCUAUUUUACAAUUCUGCUUCUUUGUAGUAGUAUUACUUGGUGAGCACUUACUUUUUGUGAAAGGAGAAGAGCAAAGCUAAUGAGAAUGCAGAAACCGGCUCAUAUGCUGCAGGAAUCGCAGACCUAAAAACACAAUGUUGUCAUGGGGUAAUUUUAUUUCCACCGUUUCAACAUUAUGAAUAUCAGUUCUAGCACAAGGUUCAUUGUAUGUGUGGAUGUACUGUAUUGUAAUAUUGUGACCUCUCGUGGAACCUGUAUUGCCUUCACCUUUGAUUCCUUCCUUGAUGAUAUACCCACUGUAUUUUAAUAUUCUGACCUCCCAUGGAAAUUGUAUUUCCUUUGCCUUGAUACCUUCAUCGAUGCUAUAUAUAUAUAUAUCCUCUUUUCUUUUUAGAUUCAGUCUUUGAGUUUUUCUCUGUUGCAUUUGCAGCUUCAUGGAUCUGGAAGUAUUGAUAUUGAUGGUUCCAAGGGAUGAAAAAGUGCUAAUUGUUUUUCUCUGUAUCGUCCGAGCUAAUGCCAACUGAUUGUUGAACAAUGCUUUGAAAAAAACAAUUUAGGGAACUUUUCAUACCCUUUCUAACUGAGUUACUAAUAUGUGAAAACCAAGUGCAACCUCUUAUGAAUCUUGGAAGAAAUGAUAUUCACCGUAUUUGUAUAUUUUCAGAUUUUUGGUUUCGUAAAUAUUUGUUGUUUAAUUGGACAUCCAAUUGUAUGUUUUGUUGUUUACAUUUUUUGUGUAUUCCCUUCUGUUGAAAUGUAAUAUAGAGAAAAUGUAAAAAAAACAUUUAUAUGAGUACAUAUAUCAGUUCCACCCAUUCUUAAAAUAUUACUAAUGUUUCU
rnacentral:lncRNA from 1 species